UACGUAGGGCGCAAGCGUUAUCCGGAAUUAUUGGGCGUAAAGAGCUCGUAGGCGGUUUGUCGCGUCUGCCGUGAAAGUCCGGGGCUCAACUCCGGAUCUGCGGUGGGUACGGGCAGACUAGAGUGAUGUAGGGGAGACUGGAAUUCCUGGUGUAGCGGUGAAAUGCGCAGAUAUCAGGAGGAACACCGAUGGCGAAGGCAGGUCUCUGGGGACCAUCUGACGCUGAGGCGCGAAAGCGUGGGGAGCGAACCGG
rnacentral:rRNA from 1 species